AGUUAAAGUGCUUAUAUCACUUGUGGGACCUUUACAGAUUUGAAAAGAGCGUAAAAAGUUAGUUAAUAAGUUUAAAUACUUUUUUUUAUUUAGCGCAAUAAUUUCAAAGAUACAGGCCUCUAAACUACAUACAAUUCCUGAGUCCCAGGCUUCUAUGCACAAUGGACAGUUUCGAAAGAGGCCAAAUUCAAUAGCCGUAUUUAGACCCCAGGAGGCUGGGACUCAGGAACAGUUCGUUGUUUAAAAGCCUAUAUCCUCAAAACUAUUGCACUA